AAAGGUAAGCUACUAAGAGCGAAUGGUGGAUGCCUUGACUGGUAAAGGCGAUGAAGGACGUACUAGACUGCGAUAAGCUACGGGGAGCUGUCAAGAAGCUUUGAUCCGUAGAUUUCCGAAUGGGGCAACCCAAUGUAUAGAGAUAUACAUUACCUAUAUAGGAGCGAACGAGGGGAAUUGAAACAUCUUAGUACCCUCAGGAAAAGAAAUCAAUAGAGAUUGCGUCAGUAGCGGCGAGCGAAAGCGCAAGAGGGCAAACCCAGUGCUUGCACUGGGGGUUGUAGGACUGCAAUGUGCAAGAGGUAAGUUUAGCAGAACAUUCUGGAAAGUAUAGCCAUAGAGGGUGAUAGUCCCGUAUGCGAAAAACAAACCUUAGCUAGCAGUAUCCUGAGUAGGGCGGGACACGAGGAAUCCUGUCUGAAUCCGGGUCGACCACGAUCCAACCCUAAAUACUAAUACCAGAUCGAUAGUGCACAAGUACCGUGAGGGAAAGGUGAAAAGAACUGAGGUGAUCAGAGUGAAAUAGAACCUGAAACCAUUUGCUUACAAUCAUUCAGAGCCCUAUGUAGCAAUACAGGGUGAUGGACUGCCUUUUGCAUAAUGAGCCUGCGAGUUGUGGUGUCUGGCAAGGUUAAGCAAACGCGAAGCCGUAGCGAAAGCGAGUCUGAAUAGGGCGCUUAGUCAGAUGCUGCAGACCCGAAACGAAGUGAUCUAUCCAUGAGCAAGUUGAAGCUAGUGUAAGAACUAGUGGAGGACUGAACCCAUAGGCGUUGAAAAGCCCCGGGAUGACUUGUGGAUAGGGGUGAAAGGCCAAUCAAACUUCGUGAUAGCUGGUUCUCUCCGAAAUAUAUUUAGGUAUAGCGUUGUGUCGUAAUAUAAGGGGGUAGAGCACUGAAUGGGCUAGGGCAUACACCAAUGUACCAAACCCUAUCAAACUCCGAAUACCUUAUAUGUAAUCACAGCAGUCAGGCG
rnacentral:rRNA from 1 species